rnacentral:rRNA from 1 species
CAGCAGCCGCGGUAAUACGUAGGUGGCAAGCGUUGUCCGGAAUUAUUGGGCGUAAAGCGCGCGCAGGCGGUUUCUUAAGUCUGAUGUGAAAGCCCCCGGCUCAACCGGGGAGGGUCAUUGGAAACUGGGAAACUUGAGUGCAGAAGAGGAGAGUGGAAUUCCACGUGUAGCGGUGAAAUGCGUAGAGAUGUGGAGGAACACCAGUGGCGAAGGCGACUCUCUGGUCUGUAACUGACGCUGAGGAGCGAAAGCGUGGGGAGCGAACAGGAUUAGAUACCCGUGUAGUCCCUGUCUCUUAUAC